CUCACCUCGUCUCUCACUCUCUCUCUCUCUCUCUCUCUCGAACCCGAUCGAAAAUGGACCUGAGCCUCUGCCUCUCAAACUCUUGGUCCAAAUCCAAACUCCUAAUCCGAUCCCUAAUCCCUCAGUAACUCAGUCCAUCUCUCUACCAUUCCCUCAGUCUCUCUCUCUCUCAAACUCGAGCCUCAGUUCGAAGAAUCGAAUCCCUCGACCCAUUCGAUUUCAUUUCACAUCAAAGCGAUUCGAUUCACAUCAGUCGAUCAAUUGUUGCAGUACUGCUGGUGAGUAGGAGCUCGGUGCUUCAAUUAUUUUGGAUUGUUGAGUUUAUUUGGAUCAUUGCAAACUGAGAUUGACAAGGCUAUCAUUGCAGAAGACCCUAUUUUGAAAUGUAUCACACUUUGGAGGAACUUGAGAGGGCAAUGCUUUUAAUCAAGGAAUAGAGUCAUCAUUGACCAGUCUCAGCUCUACACAAGCUGAUGCAUAGCAGGCAGCAGCCAACAUCGUGAGCUUUCUUGUUCAACAAAGUUUGAGUCUUUGAGUGAGGCAGGGAGCACAACAAGCAAAUAUGAAGUGACGAUGAGAUGAAAUUUGAGUCUUUGAAAACUUUGUUUUAAACUAUUGUCCGCUUUGUUAUUGUAUGAUUUAUUCAUUUGUGUGAACUGUAAAUGAUGAUAUGAGGUGAUGAUGAGAUGAACUGUAAGUGAUGAUAUGAAUUAUGAAGUGAUGAACUGAUGAGUGUAAGUGAUGAACUGAAGUAGAUGUGAGAGAAUG